UACGGAGGGUGCAAGCGUUAUCCGGAUUCACUGGGUUUAAAGGGUGCGUAGGAGGGCAGGUAAGUCAGUGGUGAAAUCCUGGGGCUUAACUCCAGACUGCCGUUGAUACUAUCGGUCUUGAAUGUCGUGGAGGUGAGCGGAAUAUGUCAUGUAGCGGUGAAAUGCUUAGAUAUGACAUAGAACACCAAUUGCGAAGGCAGCUUGCUACACGGAAUAUUGACUCGUGAGGCAC
rnacentral:rRNA from 1 species